rnacentral:rRNA from 1 species
CUACGGGGUGCUGCAGUAAGGAAUAUUGGUCAAUGGACGAAAGUCUGAACCAGCCAUGCCGCGUGAAGGAUUAAGGUCCUCUGGAUUGUAAACUUCUUUUAUAUGGGACGAAAAAAGGUCUUUCUAGAUCACUUGACGGUACCAUAUGAAUAAGCACCGGCUAACUCCGUGCCAGCAGCCGCGGUAAUACGGAGGGUGCAAGCGUUAUCCGGAUUCACUGGGUUUAAAGGGUGCGUAGGCGGGCAGGUAAGUCAGUGGUGAAAUCCUGGAGCUCAACUCCAGAACUGCCAUUGAUACUAUCUGUCUUGAAUAUUGUGGAGGUAAGCGGAAUAGGUCAUGUAGCGGUGAAAUGCUUAGAUAUGACAUAGAACACCCAUUGCGAAGGCAGCUUACUACGCAUAUAUUGACGCUGAGGCACGAAAGCGUGGGGAUCAAACAGGAUUAGAUACCCGAGUAGUC